rnacentral:rRNA from 1 species
UGGGGAAUUUUGGACAAUGGGCGAAAGCCUGAUCCAGCAAUGCCGCGUGUGUGAAGAAGGCCUUCGGGUUGUAAAGCACUUUUGUCCGGAAAGAAAUGGCUCUGGUUAAUACCUGGGGUCGAUGACGGUACCGGAAGAAUAAGGACCGGCUAACUACGUGCCAGCAGCCGCGGUAAUACGUAGGGUCCAAGCGUUAAUCGGAAUUACUGGGCGUAAAGCGUGCGCAGGCGGUUGUGCAAGACCGAUGUGAAAUCCCCGAGCUUAACUUGGGAAUUGCAUUGGUGACUGCACGGCUAGAGUGUGUCAGAGGGGGGUAGAAUUCCACGUGUAGCAGUGAAAUGCGUAGAGAUGUGGAGGAAUACCGAUGGGCGAAGGCAGCCCCCUGGGAUAACACUGACGCUCAUGCACGAAAGCGUGGGGAGCAAACAGGAUUAGAUACCCCUGGUAGUCCACGCCCUAAACGAUGUCAACUAGUUGUUGGGGGAUUCAUUUCCUUAGUAACGUAGCUAACGCGUGAAGUUUGACCGCCUGGGGAGUACGGUCGCAAGAUUAAAAGCUCAAAGGAA